CUCCCGGCACGGGGAGGUAGUGACGAAAAAUAACGAUACGGGACUCAUCCGAGGCCCCGUAAUCGGAAUGAGUACACUUUAAAUCCUUUAACGAGUACCCAUUGGAGGGCAAGUCUGGUGCCAGCAGCCGCGGUAAUACCAGCUCCAAUAGCGUAUAU
rnacentral:rRNA from 1 species